rnacentral:rRNA from 1 species
AGUGAACGCUGGCGGUAGGCCUAACACAUGCAAGUCGAACGGCAGCACAGGAGAGCUUGCUCUCUGGGUGGCGAGUGGCGGACGGGUGAGGAAUACAUCGGAAUCUACCUUUUCGUGGGGGAUAACGUAGGGAAACUUACGCUAAUACCGCAUACGACCUACGGGUGAAAGUGGGGGACCGCAAGGCCUCACGCGAUUAGAUGAGCCGAUGUCCGAUUAGCUAGUUGGCGGGGUAAUGGCCCACCAAGGCGACGAUCGGUAGCUGGUCUGAGAGGAUGAUCAGCCACACUGGAACUGAGACACGGUCCAGACUCCUACGGGAGGCAGCAGUGGGGAAUAUUGGACAAAGGGCGCAAGCCUGAUCCAGCCAUACCGCGUGGGUGAAGAAGGCCUUCGGGUUGUAAAGCCCUUUUGUUGGGAAAGAAAUCCUGUCGAUUAAUACUCGGUGGGGAUGACGGUACCCAAAGAAUAAGCACCGGCUAACUUCGUG